rnacentral:rRNA from 1 species
CCUACGGGAGGCAGCAGUGAGGAAUAUUGGUCAAUGGACGCAAGUCUGAACCAGCCAUGCCGCGUGCAGGAUGACGGCCCUAUGAGUUGUAAACUGCUUUUGUACGAGGGUAAACCCCGGUACAUGUAUCGGGUUGAAAGUACCGUACGAAUAAGGAUCGGCUCACUCCGUGCCAGCAGCCGCGGUAAUACGGAGAGUCCGAGCGUUAUCCGGAUUUGUUGGGUUUAAAGGGGGCGUAGGCGGUUUGUUAAGUUAGAUGUGAAAUGUCGGGGCUCAACCCCGAAAGUGCCUUUAAUACUGGUGGACUGGAGAAUAGUUGCGGUAGGCGGAAUGUAUGGUGUAGCGGUGAAAUGCUUAGAGAUCAUACAGAACACCGAUUGCGAAGGCAGCUUACCAAACUGUAACUGACGUUGAGGCACGAAAGCGUGGGUAGCAAACAGGAUUAGAUACCCGAGUAGUC